CCUACGGGUGACAGCAGUGGGGGAUAUUGCACAAUGGAGGGAACUCUGAUGCAGCGACGCCGCGUGAGGGAAGAAGGUUUUCGGAUUGUAAACCUCUGUCUUCGGUGACGAAACGAGACGGUAGCCGAGGAGGAAGCGCCGGCUAACUACGUGGCAGCAGCCGCGGUAAUGCGUAGGUGGCAAGCGGUGUCCGGAAUUACUGGGUGUAACGGGAGCGUAGGCGGAAAGGCAAGUUGAAUGUUUCAGGUACGGGCUCAACCUGUAAAAGCGUUGAAAACUUUUUUUCUUGAGUGGGGUAGAGGUAAGCGGAAUUCCUAGUGUAGCGGUGAAAUGCGUAAAUAUUAGGAGGAACACCAGUGGCGAAGGCGGCUUACUGGGCUUUAACUGACGCUGAGGCUCGAAAGCGUGGGUAGCAAACAGGAUUAGAUACCCUAGUAGUC
rnacentral:rRNA from 1 species